GGUCAAGUUUUUAAGGGCACACGGUGGAUGCGCAUCAGGAGCCGAAGAAGGACGUAGGAAUCUGCGAUAAGCCUGGGGAGUUGAUAACCGAGCGUUGAUCCCAGGAUGUCCGAAUGGGGAACCCCGCCCGGCGCGAGUGACCGGGUGACCUGCAUCUGGAACACAUAGGGGGAGGGAACGCGGGGAAGGAAACAUCUCAGUACCCGCAGGAAGAGAAAACAACAGUGAUUCCGUUAGUGGUGGCGAGCGGAACGCGGAAGAGGCUAAACCAGUGGUGUGUGAUAGCCGGCGGGCGUUGCAUCACUGUGGGACUUUCCGUACCAGUUCUUGCCGGAUUGGUGAAGUGAGUGCAGGUGCAUAGGUGAACUGGCUUGAAAAGCCAGGCCGUAGAGGGUGUUAGCCCCGUAACCGGGAAUGUAUGCUGCCGCCGAGAGGAUCCCGCGAGCACGGGGCCCGGAGAAAUCCCGCGAAUCUGCCAGGACCACCUGGUAAGCCUAAAUACUCCCUGAUGACCGAUGGAUAGCGACAAGUACCGUGAGGGUAGAAAAGUACCCCGGGAGGGGGAGGAAAUAGUACGAAACCGUGUGCCUACAAACCGUUGGAGCAGCCUUGUAGCUGGACAGCGUGCCUUUGGAAGAAUGAGCCUGCGAGUUAGUGUUACGUCGCGAGGUUAACCCGUGUGGGGAAGCCGUAGGCGAAAGCGAGUCUGAAUAGGGCGAGUGAGUGGCGUGAUCUAGACCCGAAGCGGAGUGAUCUACCGGCGAAGGUUGAAGCGACGGUAAGACGUCGUGGAGGACCGAACCCACUCAGUUGAAAAUGGAGGGGAUGAGCUGUGGGGUAGGGGUGAAAGGCCAAUCAAACUCCGUGAUAGCUGGUCUCUCCCGGAAAUGCAUUUAGGUGCAGCGUUGCGUGUUUCUUACCGGAGGUAGAGCUACUGGAUGGCCGAUGGGCCCUACAAGGUUACUGACGUCAGCCAAACCCGGAAUGCCGGUAAGUGAAGAGAGCGCAGAGGAGACUGUGGGGGAUAAGCUUCAUAGUCGAGAGGGAAACAGCCCAGACCACCAACUAAGGCCCUAAGCGUGCUAUGGGAAAGGAUGUGGAGCGUCUAGACAACCAGGAGGUUGGCUUAGAAGCGCCACCCUUGAAAGAGUGCGUAAUAGCUCACUGGUCAGCGACCGCGCCGACAAUGUAGGGGCCUACACCGCCGAAGUUGUGGCAUUCAGAUUUUUGGUAACUCGUGGUUCAGCCGUCUGGAUGGGUAGGAGCGUCGUGGGCAGUGAAGCUGCGGUAAACCAGUGGUGGAUUCACGAGUGAGAAUGCAGGCAUGAGUACGAAAGACGGGUGAGGUAAACCCGCCGCCGAAUGAUCGGGUCCAGGUCAAGCUAAUCUGCCCUGGAGUCGGGACCUAAGGCGAGGCCGACAGGCGUAGUCGAUGGACAACGGGUUGAUAUUCCCGUACCGGCGAAAAAACCGCCCAUACCCAAACGGGGAUACUAACCGCCCAUACCUGGACCGGCCGCCUUGUGGCGACCCGGUUUUUGGUGGAGCGCGGGACCGUAACCCGGGAGGUAAGCGUAUUAACAGGUGUGACGCAGGAAGGUAGCCGGGCCAGGCGAUGGUAGUCCUGGUCUAAGGAUGUAGGGUCAGUGAUAGGCAAAUCCGUCACCGUGUUCUUUGAUGACGCACCCGAGAUCUGAUGGGACCCCGAACGGGGGAAUCCGGGUGAUCCUAUGCUGCCUAGAAAGCAUCGGCGCGAGAGUUUUAGCCGCCCGUACCCCAAACCGACACAGGUGAUCAGGUAGAGAAUACUAAGGCGAUCGGAGAGAAUUAUGGUUAAGGAACUCGGCAAAAUGCCCCCGUAACUUCGGGAGAAGGGGCUCGCCCGUGACCGUCACUUGCUGGCGUGAGCGGGUGGGGCCGCAGAGACCAGGGGGAAGCGACUGUUUACUAAAAACACAGGUCCGUGCGAAGUCGCAAGACGAUGUAUACGGGACUGAUUGCCCGGUGCUGGAAGGUUAAGAGGACCGGUUCCCUACGGGGCGAAGCUGGGAAUUUAAGCCCCAGUAAACGGCGGUGGUAACUAUAACCAUCCUAAGGUAGCGAAAUUCCUUGUCGGGCAAGUUCCGACCUGCACGAAUGGAGUAACGACUUCCCGCUGUCUCAACCAUAAACUCGGCGAAAUUGCAGUACGAGUAAAGAUGCUCGUUACGCGCGAGGACGGAAAGACCCCGAGACCUUACCAUAGUUUGGUAUUGGUGUUCGGUGGCUUGUGUAGGAUAGGUGGGAGAGUCGAGACCCGGGACGCCAGUUCGGGUGGAGCCAUUGAAAUACCACUCUGGUCAUACGGGAUAUCUAACUUGCCCGUAAUCCGGGUCAGGGACAGUGCCUGAUGGGUAAGUCGAUCCGGGGCGGUGCCUCCAAAGAGUAACGGAGGCGCCCAAAGGUUCCCCAGCCUGGUUGGCAAUCAGGUGUCGAGUGUAAGGCACAAGGGAGCUUGACCAGGAGAGACAUCUCACAGGACGAAAGUCGGGACUAGUGAUCCGCGGUACAUUGUGGAAUGGCCGUCGCUCAACGGAUAAAAGGUACCUCGGGGAUAACAGGCUGAUCUUGCCCAAGAGUCCAUGUCGACGGCAUGGCUUGGCACCCGAUGUCGGCUCGUCGCAUCCUGGGGCUGGAGUAGGUCCCAAGGGCUGGGCUGUUCGCCCAUUAAAGCGGACGCGAGCUGGCUGAACGUCGGAGACAGUUCGGUCCCACGCUGCGGCGCGCAGGAAAUUUGAGAAGGGCUGUCCUUAGACGAGAGGACCGGGACGGACGAACCUCUGGUGUGUCAGUUGUCCAAGUGCACCGCUGAUUAGCUACGUUCGGAUGGGAUAACCGCUGAAAGCAUCUAAGCGGGAAGCCUGCUUGAGAUGAGAUUCCAUACACCUUGUGUGUGAGAGGCCCCCAGCCAGACCACUGGGUUGAUAGGCCGGAUGUGGAAGCGGGGACUAAAGACCCGUGAAGCUGACCGGUACUAAUAGGCCGAUAACUUACACCAC
rnacentral:rRNA from 1 species